GAUUUUGGAUACAUCAAGGAUGAUUGGUUGGACUGUAGAAGCUGAUUUUAGUUUUAAUUUUUAAUCUACCGCUUUUAAAUCAUCAAUCAUGCUUUAUACUGGGUUUUAAAGUUACAACCAAAAAAAUUAAAAAACAACUUUAUAUUCUAAUGUCCCAUCUUUUUGAUGUAUCAAAUCUAUUCUUGUAAAAAUAAAUUUUAAACAUACAUUUCAUCCCUACAAGCCCUAUUCUAAAAAGCGGCGACUUUAGUCGAUUACGCAGCAAGUAAGAGUUCUACAGACCUUGUCCGUGGCGAUUCUAUGUUAUUCCCACUGUUCUCUGCGAAUCUUUUCCUUUUUUUUUCUAGAUCUACCAAAAACUCAUUUCUCCUUCUCUUAAAAUUCUUCUUCUCUUUUAAUUCUCUCUCAAUUUUUCAUAACAUUUAAUCUUUACUCUCCAUCUUUGUUUGAGAAAUUGAAUCCUCUUCCUCCUUUAUUGCGAGGAAUCGAAUACUCUUCAUUCUAUUUUGUUUUCGAGAUCUCUUGAAUCAUCAGGUUGUUGUCGAUGAUAAUCUUCCUUGAGGGAGGGAUUAUUUUCAAAAGAUCAACUCAGGGUUUAUUGUACCACCACCAUUGUUGUUAUCGAGUAUAUUCAACUCCUCACCACCACACAGGGAAGGAGAAGCAGUGGUGUGACAUAGCGGCGUCUCCGGUCAAGCGUGGUGCGAAGGUGGUAUUCUGAUAGAAAGUCCCUGUCUUUGUCUCGAUGCCAUUCAAAGGAGAUAUCUUGCUUGAGUCGAAGAGGGAGUGGAGUCGGAUCUGUGCCGGAUUCUGUAGGCGGAAGACGACGAUGACACGGGAAGGAUAAUUGGUGGAGGAGUUCGUGAUGGUGGAUGGUGGAAGAGGAUAGCAGAUGGCGUAGCUGACAGCGUUUUUGAAGCAUCGAUGGUGGAGGAUCCGGAGCAAACAGACGAGGCGGAGGUGGAGCUCUACGGCAAAGGAGGCUGAGGGGCAAGAGUUAGAGAUUUUUUAGGUUUAAUUUUCUUGGUUUACAAUUAAACAAAUUUUGUUUAAUGUUGUUUUGGUUUAACGUGUAAACUUAUUUUAUUUGUAAACAAAUUAUAAUUAAUAAAUAAAAUUUAAUUUUUUUUAUUAAA